rnacentral:rRNA from 1 species
AUUAAACGCUGGCGGCAGGCUUAACACAUGCAAGUCGAGCGGGGGAAGGUAGCUUGCUACCGGACCUAGCGGCGGACGGGUGAGUAAUGCUUAAGAAUCUGCCUAUUAGUGGGGGACAACAUCUCGAAAGGGAUGCUAAUACCGCAUACGUCCUACGGGAGAAAGCAGGGGAUCUUCGGACCUUGCGCUAAUAGACGAGCCUAAGUCGGAUUAGCUAGUUGGUGGGGUAAAGGCCUACCAAGGCGACGAUCUGUAGCGGGUCUGAGAGGAUGGUCCGCCACACUGGGACUGAAACACGGGCCAGACUCCUACGGGAGGCAGCAGUGGGGAAUAUUGGACAAUGGGGGGAACCCUGAUCCAGCCAUGCCGCGUGUGUGAAGAAGGCCUUAUGGUUGUAAAGCAAUUUAAGCGAGGAGGAGGCUACUUUAGUUAAUACCUAGAGAUAGUGGACGUUACUCGCAGAAUAAGCACCGGCUAACUCUGUGCCAGCCGCCGCGGUAA